GAAUGCCAGGAUCACACCCUGAGCCCAAGGCAGACACUUAAUGACUGAGCCACCCAGAUGAGAUGCCCAGUAUGAGACAUGGAACUGUAUAAAAGAUCAGAUAAAGGAACAGAAAUUCAAAGAGGUGAAAUAACCCUACCCAGGGCACACAGCAGCCGAGCUCUGCAGCCGUGAUAAAGCCAUGGAGGAGACAGACAGCCGGAUUGAACCUGGGUUGGGAAGGUUCAAGAGAAGGACAAUGGAGCAAAGGAAGAGAGGCCAAGUGGGGGCCAAGCCAUUUACACUUGCUAAGGAAAGGAGGAGGUCACAGGCAGGAAGAGCAUGGGGGACAUGGCCAGGUAGAGAGCGAGGUUAACAAAAACUUACUACACAUUCUUACACUAUUAAUAAUAUUUUACAUUUUAAAGUACACUGUCAUUUUCAAAGUAUUUUUUAAAAUUGACUUUAUUUUUUAGAGCAGUUUAAGGUUCACAGCAACAUUGAGCAGAACGUAGAGAGUUCUCAGAUAACCCCUGCCCCCACCAGAGUGGUACUUUCCUUGUAAUGGAUGAACCUACACUGACACAUCAUUGUCAUUCAAAGUCUGUAGUUUGCAUUAGGGUUCACUCUUGUUGUUACAUAUUCUAAUGGCUGGGCAAAUGUCUAAUAACAUGUUUUCACCAUUAUAGUACCAUGCAGAAUAGUUUCACUGCUCUGACAUCCUCUGAGCUCUGCCCAAUUCAUCCCUCCCUUCCUCCCAACCCCUGGCAAUCACUGAUCUUUUUUCUAUCUCCAUAUAUUUGCCUUUUCCAGAUUGUCAUACAGUUGGAAUCAAAGAAGUUAAUCUUUUUAGAUUGGCUUCUUUUAAUUAGUGAUAUGCAUUAAAGCCCCCCCCCCAAUCUUUUUAUGGCUUAAUAGCUUAUUCCUUUUUAGCAUUAAACAAUUUUCUAUUGUCUGGAUGUACCAGAGUUUAUCCAUUCACCUCCUGAAGGACAUCUUGGUUGCUUCCAAGUUUUGGCACUUAUGAAUAAAGCUGUUAUAAACUCCGUGUUCAGAUUUUUGUGUGGACAAUUCAUUUUAACCUUCAUAGUCGGAAGAUAGAACAAAUGUUCUAAAUCAAAUCCUAAGAAGUCAAAUACAGCACACGAAAUCAAAGCGUUUAUCAAUACGAUUGGUAAAGUUUAUCCUUUGAAUAUCCUUUGAAACAAGACAAUACGUUACUACGUUAGGAAUAAAAAAAACUCUAAAUUGAUGAUUUCAACAAAUGUUUUGAGGAAUUGACUCUCUACUUUGUCAUUUCCCCCAUCUUCUCUCUGCUCCACCCCUUGCCAACUCUGAACCCAGUUAGCAUGAUACACUGGAUCAAUGCAUGCUGUAGGCAGGUUGUUUGUGUUGUUUCUGUUUGAAUAAGGAGGCUCUGACACUUAUGAGCAGUAUGAUUUGGAGCAAGUUACUCAACAUCUUUGGGCCUCCUCUUCCUCAUCUGUAAAGCAGGGAUUUUUGACAGUGUCUACCUCAUGGAUCAGAUGAGUUUAUAUUCAUAAACCCUUAGAAUAAUUACCUGGCAUAUAGGUGUUUGUCGAAUAAAAUGAAUACUACGUAUGUAGACCUCUUGUAUGAAUGCUAGUCUCCCAGGGCCUGUAUACAAUUCUGAGUUGUGCUAUUGAGUCAAACUGUCAGGUGUGCAAUUUGAUUUUAUCCCACUUACAAGCCAAUAAGUUAGCCUUUACUGUUUCACAGAUACUGAAAAAAGACAUGAGACAUCUGAGUCUCAGAGAAAAAAAAUUGUUUUACCCACAGCACAGCAUAAAAAGCAUGACUUGUUCGUAUCAAUUCCUCUUGCCCCCCAAGUUCCCCAGGUGUGAUACCAAAGCACCCAGAUAGAUGUUACACAUGCAGUGGGUUUGUGUUCAGUGGGGGAACAGUGAGCUUGGGGAACCCAUUGUUUUUCUAGCAAGCAAAAAGCUAAGUCAGCUUCUUUGUCCCAGAGGGAGAUGUUACUUUAUCUCUCAAGAUUGUUGCUGUAGGGG